rnacentral:rRNA from 1 species
AUGAACGCUGGCGGCGUGCCUAAUACAUGCAAGUCGAGCGCACAGACGAGGAGCUUGCUCCUCUGACGUUAGCGGCGGACGGGUGAGUAACACGUGGAUAACCUAUCUAUAAGACUGGGAUAACUUCGGGAAACCGGAGCUAAUACCGGAUAAUAUAUUGAACCGCAUGGUUCAAUAGUGAAAGACGGUUUUGCUGUCACUUAUAGAUGGAUCCGCGCCGCAUUAGCUAGUUGGUAAGGUAACGGCUUACCAAGGCAACGAUGCGUAGCCGACCUGAGAGGGUGAUCGGCCACACUGGAACUGAGACACGGUCCAGACUCCUACGGGAGGCAGCAGUAGGGAAUCUUCCGCAAUGGGCGAAAGCCUGACGGAGCAACGCCGCGUGAGUGAUGAAGGUCUUCGGAUCGUAAAACUCUGUUAUUAGGGAAGAACAAAUGUGUAAGUAACUAUGCACGUCUUGACGGUACCUAAUCAGAAAGCCACGGCUAACUACGUG